GUAUAACUUCGAGGAGUGGUGAAAAUCCAUACCGGCGGUAAAGCCCGCAAGUAGAAAUACACGAAUUGGUGAAAUUCCAAUGCCGACAGUAUAGUCUGGAUGUGAGAAGUAAUGG
rnacentral:ncRNA from 2 species